GAGUUUGAUUCUGGCUCAGGAUGAACGCUAGCGGCAGGCCUAACACAUGCAAGUCGUACGGUAACAGGGAAAAGCUUGCUUUUCCGCUGACGAGUGGCGCACGGGUGCGCAACGCGUAUAGAACCUACCCUGUACAGGGGGAUAGCCCAUGGAAACGUGGAUUAAUACCCCGUGGAGACUUAAGGUGGCAUCACUUUUAGUUUAAAGUUUCGGCGGUACGGGAUGGCUAUGCGUCCCAUUAGUUAGUAGGUGAGGUAACGGCUCACCUAGGCAAUGAUGGGUAGGGGCCCUGAGAGGGGGAUCCCCCACACUGGUACUGAGACACGGACCAGACUCCUACGGGAGGCAGCAGUGAGGAAUAUUGGACAAUGGGCGGAAGCCUGAUCCAGCCAUGCCGCGUGCAGGAAGACAGCCCUACGGGUUGUAAACUGCUUUUAUACGGGAAGAAUAAGGGGUACGUGUACCCCGAUGACGGUACCGUAAGAAUAAGGACCGGCUAACUCCGUGCCAGCAGCCGCGGUAAUACGGAGGGUCCAAGCGUUAUCCGGAAUCAUUGGGUUUAAAGGGUCCGCAGGCGGGCAAUUAAGUCAGGGGUGAAAUGGUGC
rnacentral:rRNA from 1 species